rnacentral:rRNA from 1 species
AGCCUUUGACAUGCCUCGGACGGUUACCAGAGAUGGUUUCUUCUCUUCGGAGCCGGGGACACAGGUGCUGCAUGGCUGUCGUCAGCUCGUGUCGUGAGAUGUUGGGUUAAGUCCCGCAACGAGCGCAACCCUCGCCCUUAGUUGCCAUCAUUUAGUUGGGCACUCUAAGGGGACUGCCGGUGAUAAGCCGCGAGGAAGGUGGGGAUGACGUCAAGUCCUCAUGGCCCUUACGGGCUGGGAUACACACGUGCUACAAUGGCGGUGACAAUGGGAUGCAAUGGGGCAACCCUGCGCAAAUCUCAAAAAGCCGUCUCAGUUCGGAUUGUGCUCUGCAACUCGAGCACAUGAAGUUGGAAUCGCUAGUAAUCGCAGAUCAGCACGCUGCGGUGAAUACGUUCCCGGGCC